GAUGAACGCUGGCGGCGUGCUUAACACAUGCCAGUCGAACGAUGAAGCCCAGCUUGCUGGGUGGAUUAGUGGCGAACGAGUGAGUAACACGUGAGUAACCUGCCCUUAACUCUGGGAUAAGCCUGGGAAACUGGGUCUAAUACCGGAUAGGAGCGUCCACCGCAUGGUGGGUGUUGGAAAGAUUUAUCGGUUUUGGAUGGACUCGCGGCCUAUCAGCUUGUUGGUGAGGUAAUGGCUCACCAAGGCGACGACGGGUAGCCGGCCUGAGAGGGUGACCGGCCACACUGGGACUGAGACACGGCCCAGACUCCUACGGGAGGCAGCAGUGGGGAAUAUUGCACAAUGGGCGCAAGCCUGAUGCAGCGACGCCGCGUGAGGGAUGACGGCCUUCGGGUUGUAAACCUCUUUCAGUAGGGAAGAAGCGAAAGUGACGGUACCUGCAGAAGAAGCACCGGCUAACUACGUG
rnacentral:rRNA from 1 species